ACCAGCCCGAGUCAUGCAGUCUUUUCGAGAAAGGUGUGGUUUCCAUGGCAAACAACAGAACUACCAGCAGACCUCACAGGAGACAUCGCGCCUGGAGAAUUACCGGCAGCCGAGCCAGGCCGGGCUGAGCUGCGACCGACAGCGGCUUCUGGCCAAGGACUACUACAGCCCGCAGCCCUACCCGGCCUACGAGGGCGGCGCCGGCACCGCCCCCGGCCCGGCGCGGGGCGGCAAGGGCCUGGCCUCGCAGCAGUCCCUGCAGGGCAGGCCGGCCUUCUCGGGCUACAGCGUGCAGGACAGCAGCGCGUACCCCGGCCGCUACUCGGGCGAGGAGAGCCUGCAGGCCUGGGGGGCCCCCCAGCCGCCGCCCCCGCAGCCGCAGCCCCUGCCGGGGGGCAUGGGCAAAUAUGACGACAGCUUGAUGAAAAAGGCGGCAGUGCCCCCUGGCAGGCAGUACCCGGAGCAGGGCGCCCAGCUGCCCUUCCGGACUCACUCGCUGCACGUCCAGCAGCAGCUGCCGCAGCCCCAGCAGCCCCAGCAGCCCCUGGCGUACCCCAAACUGCAAAGGCAGAAGCUGCAGAACGACAUGGCCUCGCCGCUGCCCUUCCCGCAGGGCGGCCACUUCCCCCAGCACUCCCAGUCUUUCCCCGCUUCCUCCAGCUACUCCUCCAGCGCCCAGGGCGCCCACUCCUACAAGAGCUGCACCGCGCCGUCCGCCCAGCCCCACGACCGGCCGCUGACGGCCAGCGCCAGCCUGGCGCCGGGGCCGCGGGUCCAGAACCUUCACGCCUACCAGUCCGGCCGCCUCAGCUACGACCAGCAGAAGCAGCAGCAGGCGGCGCUCCAGAGCCGGCACCACGCGCAGGAGACCCUCCAUUACCAAAACCUUGCCAAGUACCAGCACUACGGGCAGCAGGGCCCGGGCUACUGCCAGCCGGACGCGGCCGUCAGGACUCCGGAGCAGUAUUACCAGACCUUCAGCCCCAGCUCCGGCCACUCGCCCGCGCGCUCCGUGGGCCGCUCGCCCUCCUACAGCUCCACCCCGUCGCCGCUGAUGCCCAACCUAGAGAACUUCCCCUACAACCAGCAGCCGCUCGGCACCGGCGCCUUCCCCGCGGGCAUCACGGACCACAGCCACUUCAUGCCCCUGCUCAACCCCUCCCCGACCGAUGCCGCCGGCUCGGUGGACAGCCAGGCGGGCAACGGCAAGCCGCCGCCGAAGGACAAGCUGCCCGAGAACCUGCUGUCGGACCUCAGCCUGCAGAGCCUCACGGCCCUGACGUCCCAGGUGGAGAACAUCUCCAACACGGUGCAGCAACUGCUGCUGUCCAAGGCCGCCGUGCCGCAGAAGAAGGGCGCCAAGAACCUGGCGUCCAGGACGCCGGAGCAGCACCGGAGUCAGCACUGCAGCCCCGAGGGCAGCGGCUACUCGGCCGAGGCGGCCGGCACGCCGCUGUCCGAGCCGCCGAGCAGCACGCCGCAGUCCACGCACGCUGAGCCGCCCGACGCCGACUACCUGAGCGGCUCCGAGGACCCGCUGGAGCGCAGCUUCCUCUACUGCAGCCAGGCCCGCGGCAGCCCCGCCAGGGUGCACGGCAACUCCAAGGCCAAGCCCGAGUCGGUGUCCACCUGCUCGGUGACCUCGCCCGACGACAUGUCCACCAAGUCCGACGACUCCUUCCAGAGCCUGCAUGGCAGCCUGCCGCUCGACAGCUUCUCCAAGUUUGUGGCGGCCGAGCGGGACUGCCCGCGGCUCCUGCUCAGCGCCCUGGCGCAGGAGGACCUGGCCUCCGAGAUCCUCGGGCUGCAGGAGGCCAUCGGCGAGAAGGCCGAGAAGGCCUGGGCCGAGGCGCCUGGCCCGGCCAAGGAUGUCAGCAAGCCUCCCUUCUCGCUGGAGAAUCACAGCGCCUGCCUGGACGCCGUGGCCAAGAACGCGUGGCCGCGGCCGGGGGAGCCGGAGGCCCUGCCCGAGGCCCUGCAGCUCGACAAGGGUGGCGGUGCCAAGGACUUCAGCCCGGGGCUCUUCGAAGACCCUUCCGUGGGCUUCGCCGCCCCGGACCCCAAGAAGACGGCCGGUCCCCUCGCCUUUAGCCCCAAGACCACGCUCGGGGCCGUCACGCCGGACCCUGCCGCGGCAGCCUUCGACUGCUUCCCGGACACGACCAGCGCCAGCUCGGCAGAUGGCGCCAACCCCUUCGCCUGGCCCGAGGAAAACCUGGGCGAUGCUUGUCCCCGCUGGGGCCUGCACCCCGGCGAGCUCACCAAGGGCCUGGAGCAGGGCGGGAAGGCCUCCGACGGCGUGGGCAAGGAGAAUGCCCAUGAGGCUUCGGGCUGCCCGGGCUUCCAGGAGGGGGAGCCGCCCGGGGACAAGGCCGCCGGGCCUCGGGACUCGGCGCAGGAGGCGGCGGGCGGGGUGAAGGAGGAGGUGGGCGGGCUGCUGCAGUGCCCCGAGGUGGGCAAGGCCGACCGCUGGCUGGAGGACAGCCGGCACUGCUGCUCCGCCGCGGACUUCGGGGACCUGCCCCUGCUACCACCGCCCGGCAGGAAAGAGGACCUGGAGGCGGAGGAGGAGUACUCCUCCCUGUGCGAGCUCCUGGGCAGCCCCGAGCAGAGGCCCGGCCUGCCGGACCCGCUGUCGCCGAAGGCCCCCCUGCUGUGCACCAAGGAGGAGGUGGAAGAGGUGCUGGACACCAAGACCGGCUGGGGCUCCCCGUGCCACCUGUCCGGCGACUCCGUCAUCUUGCUGGGCCCCACCGUGGGCGCCGAGUCGAAGGUCCAGAGCUGGUUUGAGUCCUCCCUGUCCCACAUGAAGCCGGGCGAAGGAGGCCCCGACGGGGUGCUGGCGCCCGGGGACUCCGCCACGCUGGCCCCAGAUGCCUCCCUGGCGCAGAAGCCCAACAAGCCGGCCGUGCCCGAGGCGCCCAUCGCUAAGAAGGAGCCCGUGCCCCGCGGCAAAAGCUUACGGAGCCGGCGGGUGCACCGGGGGCUGCCGGAGGCUGAGGACUCCCCGUGCCGGGCGCCCGUGCUGCCCAAGGACCUCUUGCUCCCCGAAUCCUGCACUGGGCCGCCGCAGGGACAGAUGGAAGGAGCGGGAGCCCCAGGCCGGGGGGCCUCGGAAGGGCUCCCCAGGAUGUGCACGCGCUCCUUCACGGCCCUGAGCGAGCCCCGCACACCUGGACCCCCAGGCCUGACCACCACCCCCGCCCCCCCGGACAAACUGGGGGGCAAGCAGCGAGCCGCCUUCAAGUCCGGCAAGCGGGUGGGCAAGCCGUCCCCCAAGGCAGCCUCCAGCCCCAGUAACCCGGCCGCCCUGCCCGUGGCCUCGGACAGCAGCCCCAUGGGCUCCAAGACCAAGGAGACAGACUCGCCCGGCACCCCGGGCAAGGACCAGCGCUCUAUGAUCCUGCGGUCCCGCACGAAAACCCAGGAGGCGUUCCACUCCAAGAGGCGGCGGCCCUCGGAGAGCCGCCUCCCCAACUGCCGCGCUGCCAAGAAGCUGCUGGCCAACAACCACCUGCCUGCCUCGUUCAAGGUCUCCGGCAGCCCCCAGAAGGAGGGCAGGGCCAGCCAGCGGGCCCGGGUCCCCAAGCCGGGCGCAGGCAGCAAGCUCUCUGACCGGCCCCUCCACGCGCUCAAGAGGAAGUCGGCCUUCCUGGCGCCAGUCCCCACCAAGAAGCGGAACCUGGUUCUACGGAGCGGCAGUGGGGGCGACGUGAAGGAGGAGGGAGCCGAGGACCCCUCCACCCUCUUCAAGAGGAUGUCUUCGCCCAAGAAGGCCAAGCCGGCCAAGGGCAACGGCGGCGAGCCCGCCGUGAAGCCCCCGCCCCCGGAGACCCCUGACGCCUGCCUGAAGCUCGCCUCGCGGGCGGCCUUCCAGGGGGCCAUGAAGACCAAGGUGCUUCCGCCCCGGAAAGGCAGGGGCCUGAAGCUGGAGGCCAUCGUGCAGAAGAUCACCUCGCCCAGCCUGAAGAAGUUUGCGUGCAAGGCGCCGGGGGCCCCUCCCGGUAACCCUCUGAGCCCCUCUCUCCCUGAGAAGGACCGUGGGCUCAAGAGUGCGGGCGGCAGCCCAGUUGGGGCAGGAGAAGGUCUCUUAAAUGUGGGCCCUGGGCAGAAGCUCCCGGCAGCUCCGGGGGCCGACCCGUUAUGCAGAAAUCCGACCAACAGAUCCUUAAAAGGCAAACUCCUAAACAGUAAGAAACUGUCCUCAACUGACUGUUUCAAAACUGAGGCCUUCACGUCCCCCGAGGCCCUGCUGCCUGGGGGGACUGCCCUGGCACCUAAGAAGAGAAGCCGGAAAGGCAGGGCUGGAGCCCUCGGACUCCCCAAAGGUCCCUUGGAGAAGCGGCCCCAUCUAGGCCCGGCUCUGCUCCUGACCCCCCGAGACAGGGCCAAUGGCACUCAGGGGGGCAGUGAGGACAGCUCUGGUGGAGGAGGCAAGAAGCCAAAGACGGAGGAGCUGGGCCUGGCCUCCCAGUCCCCUGAGGGCCGGCCCUGCCAGGCCCAGACGAGGGCGCAGAAGCAGCCGGGCCACGCCAACUACAGCAGCUAUUCCAAGCGAAAGCGCCUCACCCGGGGCCGGGCCAAGAACACCACCUCCUCACCCUGUAAGGGGCGUGCCAAGCGGCGGCGGCAGCAGCAGGUGCUGCCCCUGGAUCCCGCCGAGCCUGAAAUCCGCCUCAAGUACAUUUCCUCGUGCAAGCGGCUUCGGGCAGACAGCCGCACCCCGGCCUUCUCGCCCUUUGUGCGGGUGGAGAAGCGAGACGCGUUCACCACCAUAUGCACUGUGGUCAACUCCCCUGGGGAGGAGCCCAAGCCCCACAGGAAGCCUUCCUCCUCCGCCUCCUCUUCCUCAUCCUCAUGCUCAUUCUCCUUGGAUGCGACUGGGGCCUCCUUGGCCACGCUCCCUGGAGGCUCUGUCCUGCAGCCACGGCCCUCCCUGCCCCUCUCCUCCACCAUGCAUCUGGGGCCCGUGGUCUCCAAGGCCCUGAGUACCUCUUGCCUUGUUUGCUGCCUCUGCCAAAACCCGGCCAACUUCAAGGACCUCGGGGACCUCUGUGGGCCCUACUACCCCGAACACUGCCUCCCCAAAAAGAAGCCAAAACUCAAGGAGAAGGUGCGGCCGGAGGGCACCUGCGAGGAGGUCUCGCUGCCCCUCGAGAGAACACUCAAAGACCUCGAGUGCGCAGGCGCUGUUGCCACUGGCAAGCCCCCGAGGCCCGAGGGCCCGGCCGACCCCGGCAAGCAGGGCUCGCUACGCACCAGCGCCCGGGGCCUGUCCCGGCGGCUGCAGAGCUGUUACUGCUGUGACAGUCGGGGGGACGGUGGCGAGGAGGCGGCCCCAGCUGACAAGAGCCGCAAGCAUGAGUGCAGCAAGGAGCCACCGGCCGAGCCUGGCGGGGACACCCAGGAACACUGGGUGCACGAGGCCUGCGCCGUGUGGACGGGCGGGGUCUACCUGGUAGCCGGGAAACUCUUUGGGCUGCAGGAGGCCAUGAAGGUGGCCGUGGACAUGACCUGUUCCAGCUGCCAGGAAGCCGGGGCCACCAUCGGGUGCUGCCACAAAGGAUGUACCCACACCUACCAUUACCCAUGUGCCACCGAUGCGGAGGGAAGAGGACACACGGAGGAUCUCCCCCCAGACGCUGGCCCCAAAGUGCAGAAACUCAGGGGCACUUUGCAGCCUGAGUUUACAGCUUCUGGCCGGGGCUGGUCGGAAAAAAAGGGGAGCCAGCUGCAGGCCUGGAGCCUUCCCAACCCUGCUCUCGGGCCUGCGGAUCUGCCCUUGCCUCCCCGCCCUGCCUACCAGCCACCAUGCUGUCGCGAUGCCACGGCACGAGCCACAGCGUGAGCAGGAGGAAUGUGCUGGAAGGAGAGGACUUGCUUGGUCAGCUCAGGCCUCCGGCUAUUUAUGGGUUUGGGGUUUGUUCAGAACCAUGGCCGUGGGGCAUGGGAGGGAGGGGGGUGAGCCCAGAAGGGGACUGGGUGUUGUGGACGGGGACUCCUGGGGGAGAAGCCAGGGCAUCCGUAGGUGACAGCGGGCCGCGGAGUGAGGACUUGCUGAGAUGCCAGUGAACCCCUGGGCUGAGGCGGGCAGCAGGAACCAGCCAUGCUCAGCCAUCCUCUGUCCCCCAAGGGUGGCCAGUGCUGUGGGCACCCAAAUACCUGCUGGGAUUCACCCAGAUCCAAGACCUCAGUCUUCCCUCUGCCCCCAGACUCAGGUCUGCGUCGCCUUCGAGGCCCCCCACAAGGACAAGCCCAUAUCCUAAGUGCCUGCUCUGAGCCACGCACGUGCAGGUGGCUUAUAUUCAUUGCCCUCAUCAGUCCCCAUGAUAGAGACAGACACAGUAGGUGGCAUAAGGCCCAUUUCACAGAUGUGGACACCGAGGCUCAAAGAAGCAGCUGAUUCUUGAAUCCAGACCUGGGACCGCACCGCCCAGUCCAUCAGCCCGCUCGGUCUCAAGGCCUUCUAGGGGCUGGGCAUGCAUCCAGGGAAGAGGGCAAAGCGGGCACACGGAGCUGGCCUUCCAGUGGGGCAGAGACCAUGAGCAAGUCCACGGUAUUUAGACCACUAGGAGGAAGUGACGAGUGUGGCCAAGUGAAAUGAGGCAGGGGCAGGGGAGAGACGGGCAUAGGGGGUCUGCUGCAGCUAGGGAGUCAGGGACGUCCUCCCGAGUGACAAGAAGGCCUUCCAGGUGGGGGGAAGAACAGGAACACACGGGCCAGGAGGGCUGGAGGCAGAUGGAGGCCAGUUCAGCCGGGAUGGGGUUUAGACCCUGGAGAAUCUCAAGCAGGGUCUGCUCUACUUUGUGCAAAGAAGCCCUGUAGCCUAGGGUCUCCGGGGCGCUAGGUCCCCCUCCCCGCCUGGCCCCCUGACGAGACACCAGCAGCCAUCCUAACCACCCACACUUCUUUUUGGUGGCAGGUUGCAUAUUCAUCGAAGAGAACUUUUCUUUGAAGUGUCCCAAACAUAAGAGGCUGCCGUUGUAAUCCACCCCAGCGGCCGGAGAAGCCGCCGAAGCCCGCCUGCCCGCCCGCCGCCGAAGGAGAGGAGCCGCCUGCGCAGCCCCCGGGCCUUUGAGCUGCUCCCCGCGCGGGUCCAGAGCCGAUCCUUGAUCCGGACUCCGGAUCUUGGAUCUGGCCGCCUAGGGCUGAAACUUGCGAUCCCGGGUUGGGAAGAAAACACGUUCCGGAGCCGCCUGCUCCCGGAACAGGAGGACACAGGACGUUCCCGCCUACACCCCCCAGGGCCAGGCUUGGAGAGGGGGAGCCCGCGGAGCGGCCAGACUCCCUGGGGCACCCAGGCUCCGGCGGGGAUUGGAGACGCCUUUAGCCUGGGGACACGCUUCUCCCCCUGGUAGUUCCAAGAGGACGUGGCACACAUUCGACGUGGGUGCUGCCGCCACCGCAGCCGGCGUGGCUUGCAGCUGGGGGCCCUGGGGGUGGGGGUGGGGGUCCAAAGGGCCCUGGAAGUGGCCAGGGCGGCUCCAGGCUCCGAGGCGGGGGGCUGGGGGGGGGAGAGGGAGCCGAAGCCUUGCUGGAGAGGACUAGGCCGGCGGGGUAGGAGGCCGGAGGCUUUGGAAGGAACCUUUCGAAUCGUGUCCUAGUGCCCUUCCCACCCACCCAGCCUCGGCCGACACUUUCGAGCGGUUUGGGCAGAGCCGGGGGAGUCCGGGACCCAUGCUCAGGGGAUGCGGGCUCCCCGGGUGUGGGCGGGACUGGCCCCCGCCCUUUGGCCUCCGUCGUCCCCUUUCCAGUCCUCCGCCCCACCCCUGGAGCGCCACCUGGGAAGGCAAAGGAAGGGAGUGGCGACCAGAGCGCACCUCCGGUGGAUGCGUGACCGUCCCUCUGCACGACCACCCAGUCUCCAGGGACAGCAGCGCCCACCCGGCACGGGAGCAGAGACAGCGCUAGAUUCGUGUACAAACCUGUGUACCCCUCUAUAUAUAUGUUACAUAGAAUGUAUAUAUGUUGGGAACAUGCUCGCUUCUCCCGUGUGUCGCCGCCGCCGUGCGUCGUGCGUCCCUCAGCACGGGGCCCUUUCCGGGAAGGGGGCUACGGCGAUGCCCGCCCUCCCCGCGCAGCCACCACCGGCCCAAGCCAGUCCCCGCCAGUCCGUCCGCCUGUCCGUCUGUGUCCUCAGCUCUGUCCACGCUUCGAUAGGCCUGACGCAGCCCCCAGACUGGGGCCGCCCUAGCAACUUCCUGUACAUAUGACUGUAAAAUGGUAAACGUGUGUAUUAUAUCUGGCCUCGUUAUAUAGUGUAUAUAUAUGUAUACAUAUACAUAUAUAUAAUAUAUAUGAAGACUGUAAAUGUUAAGACGACUAGUGUUCUUAUUAGUAUAUUGCUUCACACUGAAGAUUGUGUGUAUCGAGCUGUUUCUAAAAGAUGUUUAUUUUCCUUAAGAGUAAAAAACAGUCAUUGCAUUCAGAAAAAAAAAAAGUCAAUAAAGAUACAACGAUUGUUUUGGAA